GGCAGUUCUCGGGUGACACACCCCGGAAUCGGGCUCCCUCCUCUCUGGUUCUGGGUGCAUCACCCAAGAACCACA
rfam:Myotis brandtii contig298418, whole genome shotgun sequence.